rnacentral:rRNA from 1 species
AUUGAACGCUGGCGGCAGGCCUAACACAUGCAAGUCGCACGAGUGGAGGACGGGUGAGUAAUGUCUUGGAAACUGCCUGAUGGAGGGGGAUAACUAAUGGAAACGGUAGCUAAUACCGCAUACCAUCGGAUGUGCCCAAAUGGUAUUAGCUAGUAGGUGGGGUAACGGCUCAACUAGGCGACGAUCCCUAACUGGGAUGAGAGGAUGACCAGCCACACUGGAACUGAUACACGGUCCAGACUCCUACGGGAGGCAGCAGGGGGGAAUAUUGCACAAUGGGCGCAAGCCUGAUGCAGCCAUUCCGCUUGUAUGAAGAAGGCCUUCGGGUUGUAAAGUACUUUCAGCGAGGAGGCGUUAAUAGCAGAAGAAGCACCGGCUAACUCCGUGCCAGCAGCCGCGGUAAUUC